rnacentral:lncRNA from 1 species
AGUCGCGCCCCCAACCCCGGAGGCCUCGGGCUGAACCGGGUUUCGCAGGAGGGCACAGGGCGGCUCCCUUUUCCUCACCUGGGGGUACUCUCUUUUUAAGUCAUAGGAACAGAAGCAUCUGCAGACUAGGAUCCCAGGCCCAAACUUGCACGUGAGAUUUGUUGAAACUUAGGUCAUUUGGUACUCCUGACACCUGCCUGGCCCAGGGGUCCUCACGCUCUCUCUGCGGAUGUGAUCAGCCGUCCUCUUGGACAGUGGGGAAUAUAGUCCGUGCUCAUAGGGUCCCACCUAUCUUUCAGGAAGAACAAAAGCAAAAACUAACACUUUUUGAUUGUUCAUUUUGUGCCAGGUGCCAUUUAAAAAUUUUGUAUGAAUUAUGUCCUCGCCCACAGCGACUCUCUGAGAUCUGGGGCAUGCCAACUCCUUACUCUGGGGGAGUAUUGGAGGGAGAAUUCUACUUUUCUGAUGGGGGAGUACCAGCCUGUUAACCACAACCAUUUGCAGCUGAAGCCAGUGCAGAGCAGGAGGGAGAUCUGCACAGAGGAGAACAGUAUAAAUGGCAUGGGGUCAUCUCAGCCCCUGGCCAGCUCCCAGCCUAAUGGGAAAACCGGACCAUUGAGCAUUCCUUGCUGUUUCCCUGUAGUCCCAGCCCAAGCCAGCAUGCUCUUUUUUUAAAAAGCAAAUCCAACCAUGUUUCUCUUCUGCUUAAAGGCAUCCGGGUUCCCAUUGUUCUUGAGAACAAGUUGAGCUUGCCUCCCCUGGCUGGCGGGUCUACACUGGCUCUGCCCCAGCUUGCCUUUCUGCCUUUGUCUGCCUCCACACCCCCUCACCUGGAACUCCUGCUACCCAAGGCUUCCUUUUAGUUCCUCAAAUGUGCCAUGCUACUCCCCACCUCAAGGGCUUUGCUCCUGCUUUUCUCUGUCUCUCUGGAAUGACCUGUCCUUCUCUUCACCUGGCUUGCGCAUACUCUUCCUUCAGGUCUCAGCUCACACAUCACUUUCCUGCAUCCUCCCGCCUCCCAUUACCCUCACUUAUAAUAGAAUUUCCUGUUGAGAGUCUGUCCGCUUCACUGGAUGGUAAACUCCCAGGGGGUAGGGACUAGGGCCGUUCCUUCAAGGAACAAAUGAAGAAGGAACAUUUGUAUAAACCACCAACUAUGAUGAACGAAUGAAACUGCCCUUUUUGGGGCCACCAGUAAGUAUUCUCCAUGGUCUCACAUUCCAAGAUGUUCUCAACUUAAUGAGGGCGAUGAUACAAAUCUCAUGAAAACAUAUGUUAUUUUGAAUGCCUUUAUUGUAAAUGUCAAAUAAGGGGAUGCUGGAGGAGGUUGGAGAAGAGGAAUAUGCAUGGAUUACAGCCAUUUAUUCAGGGUUUCAAGAUGCAAGAUGUGUUGGUUGACACAAUUUAAUGGAAAACCAUGCCACCCACGACCAUCUCCCAGUGUUGGGCAUGUAUGUCUCAAGGCUCUAGCCUGCACCCCCUUUCCUCUUCCUUUCUUCACAUAUUAUUGCUAUCACAGUUCAGUUCUUACUAGUUUCUGACUUAACUGCUGCUACAAGAACCUUCUAAUUGUUCUGCCCAUCCUCCACCUCUCCUGCCUCUAAUCCAUCAUACAUACUCCUGCUGGGUUAAUUUUCCUGACCACAUCAUUCCCUUACUCAAAACUCUUCAGUGGCUCCCUAUGAUACAGUGUAACACUUGACUCUUCAUAGCCCACUUCCAAACUACUUUUGUAAAGCUUUAAGAUGCAUUCCAAAAUUAUGAAAGAAACACAUGUUCACCUCAACCAGGAAAACACUCAAAGAUAUACAAAGAAAAACAUCAGUGAUCUUCCUCACCUCCUCUGCAUUUCCCACCCAGUCUCCCAAGACAUCCAUUGUUAAGGACCUGGGGUAUAACUUCUACCUCUUUCACCAUGCUCCAUGCUCAUAAUAAACUAUAUUCAUAUAUGUGGAGCUAUUGUGUUAUUGCCUAUUUAUACAAAAAGGAUUAUAUUAGGGGUCUCUGCAACUCGCUCAUUCAUUCUUAAUAAUAAAUGGGUCUAUAGAUAUGGAAUGAAUAUAUUCAUUUUUUAGCUAC